rnacentral:rRNA from 1 species
AACGAACGCUGGCGGCAUGCCUAACACAUGCAAGUCGAACGAGACCUUCGGGUCUAGUGGCGCACGGGUGCGUAACGCGUGGGAACCUGCCCUUAGGUUCGGAAUAACUCCCCGAAAGGGGUGCUAAUACCGGAUAAUGUCUUCGGACCAAAGAUUUAUCGCCUUUGGAUGGGCCCGCGUUGGAUUAGCUAGUUGGUAGGGUAAAAGCCUACCAAGGCGACGAUCCAUAGCUGGUCUGAGAGGAUGAUCAGCCACACUGGGACUGAGACACGGCCCAGACUCCUACGGGAGGGAGCAGUGGGGAAUAUUGGAAAAUGGGCGAAAGCCUGAUCCAGCCAUGCCGCGUGAGUGAUGAAGGCCUUAGGGUUGUAAAGGUCUUUUAACCGGGAUGAUAAUGACAGGACCGGGAGAAUAAGCUCCGGCUAACUCCGUG